rnacentral:ncRNA from 1 species
AUUAAGGAGAUGGCAUUCCUCCUUUUACAAACCGCCAAACUGGCUAAUGAUGCCUACGUU